GACGUAGGGCGCAAGCGUUGUCCGGAUUUAUUGGGCGUAAAGCGCACGUAGGCGGCUUUGCAAGUCCCAUGUGAAAUCCCACGGCUCAACCGUGGAAGUGCAUGGGAAACUGCAGAGCUUGAGUUACUUAAGAGGAUCGCGGAAUUCCCGGUGUAGAGGUGAAAUUCGUAGAUAUCGGGGAAGGAACACCAGUGGCGAAGGCGGCGAUCUGGGAAGAUACUGACGCUGGAGGUGCGAAAGCGUGGGGAGCAAAGCAGG
rnacentral:rRNA from 1 species